UAACAAAGUUGAAAAAAACUAAAUUUUGAAUAAAGGGGGAAUGUCACUCCGCGAUAACACACUAAAACGCAUGAAAACGAGCUCGAAAAGCAUCAACGCUACUCAUCGUACCGAGUUUUCACAUAACGCCACCAGAAAGUAAGUUAUCGCAAGUUAACGCGCGUUAAAGCGAGUUAAAGCGGUCAGCGUCUGCUCGAUUUUUGAACCAAACCAAAUCGAUCUUGCAACCCUGCCGUCAUUUCCGAGUAGUUUUUUUUUCGGGUUUGGCAACCCGUUCUUUGUUUUGAUUAUUUUCCUGCAGUUUUCGUAAAUAAACAGCAAUCUGUGAGUUUCAUUUUUUUUUGCCCACUCGGUGGCGAAACCGCUGCAGAUUUUCCGCUCCGCUGGUGGUUUCACGGGGCAGGUGGAAUCGUCCCGACUCCGAAGAGAUGUUUGAACCGAUGACAGGUCCGGAGAAUCCGGGUUUGACGGAUCAGAUGCGGAAGAAGAUCCGUUGGUGGAGGAAGGACCUAGUGGAGGUGGAACGGGAAGAAGGUUUAAAUCUUCUAUAGCGAAUCAGGCGGGGGAUAAGAGAAAAAAGUUGAAAAUCGACAAUCCGGAAGAAGUUGAUGGAGUUUUUGGACUGUGAGGCGAGGACGAGGAACUUGUGUCGAGGCCGAACGGGGCCGAGCUGGUUGUUUUUGAGGAGAUGAUGGCCACGAAGCAGCGCCGGAUAAGCCGCAUGACUAAGGAUAAGCCGAACGAGUACAUGCUGCACAACAAGGACUUGGAAACUAUCUUGGGCGAACGUUUCUGCAUCGCCGCACGAUGUCGUAGUCAAUCUGGACCGAUGUGGUGCCCUGAACAGUGCUUCCUGCUAGUGAUGGGAACGUCCGAUAAGAUCAUUUGGUGGGCACCUGCAGUGGUGACUUCGUCCAGGAGUAUGAACGACAUCUGGGCGCGGUAAACUCGAUCACCUUCAACGACUAAAACCAGCUCUUGACGACCUCCGACGACGGCAUGGCUUGGCGUCGGCAAAGUCUACAUCUGUUUCACGACCUGUACGAGCAGCUGAGUGCCUACACCAACAGUAUCGCCAUGCGCUGAUUCUUGAGUUUCUCCUGCUCCUCGCGGAUACGAAUAGUUUCGUGGAGGGAGGUCCACUGUUGAAUCUGGACCACCGCGAGGACAGCAUCAACAGUAAUGGUUUGCCGGCACCGGUGCCUAUGCUGGCGGAGUCAAGGACGGGCAACUCCAAGCUAAACAUUCCCGAGCCCGACCGCAUCGAAGGGACUCUUCCGCGCAGUGAAGUGACCGGUUACGAUUGGUUCAUGCCCAAAAAGAUGAAUCACCGACACAAGUCCUAAGGUCUGCAAAGUGCUGCUGCUGUUCCGUCUGCACCAGAUCAACAACCACCAUCCUCAAGCUGAAAAUGGCCUCCAAGAAAAUGCUGCGGAUCGCCGAUCCGUACUUCACUUACGGCUACUUCUCACUCUAGUCGAUCCGCGUCCUGGUUUAAAAGCGUGACUCCGUCAAGCACCGACAUUGCUGCAUCACAAUCACGGACAAGAUCGAGCGCUGAACGCACUCAACCAGCUGGACAGCAUUCAGAGAAUGAUCAACGGCUCAAACGGCAAGGGCGGUAACUCCAAACUGGACGUUCUCAAGCACUGGUCUCGCGCACUGGUCCCACCCCGCGGCACAUUUGUCCCGCAGCCUCCUUAGUUCGAUAUGAUUUUGUACACUUAAUUGAAUAAAAUCCUGUUUUU
rnacentral:misc_RNA from 1 species